AUUUGAUCUCAUCUGUCAGUAAACAAAGCUCAAAUGUAGAGCAAUAGUCUUUGGUUUGCCUCCUUCCAGAUAUAAUGUGUAAACAAAUAGGCACAGCUAUGCAAGCCUGUGAUACCUCAAAAGCAAUUUAAUCAUUUCAAUUACUACCCUGAGUUUAACAUGGUAAGGUUUAAUGCAUGGAAUUUGAUUUGGCUUGAAAUUACAA
rnacentral:misc_RNA from 1 species